rnacentral:rRNA from 1 species
AGUGAACGCUGGCGGUAGGCCUAACACAUGCAAGUCGAACGGCAGCACAGUAAGAGCUUGCUCUUACGGGUGGCGAGUGGCGGACGGGUGAGGAAUACAUCGGAAUCUACUUUUUCGUGGGGGAUAACGUAGGGAGACUUACGCUAAUACCGCAUCCGACCUAGGGGUGAAAGCAGGGGAUCUUCUGACCUUGCGCGAUUGAAUGAGCCGAUGUCGGAUUAGCUAGUUGGCGGGGUAAAGGCCCACCAAGGGGACGAUCCGUAGCUGGUCUGAGAGGAUGAUCAGCCACACUGGAACUGGGACAGGGUCCAGACUCCUACGGGAGGCAGCAGUGGGGAAUAUUGGACAAUGGGCGCAAGCCUGAUCCAGCCAUACCGCGUGGGUGAAGAAGGCCUUCGGGUUGUAAAGCCCUUUUGUUGGGAAAGAAAAGCAGCAGGUUAAUACCCCGCUGUUCUGACGGUACCCAAAGAAUAAGCACCGGCUAACUUCGUG